rfam:Camelus ferus unplaced genomic scaffold scaffold1533, whole genome shotgun sequence.
GGAGGGGACAGCUCAGAGGUAGAGUGUGUGUUUAGCAUUCACGAGGUCCUGGGUUCAAUCCCCAGUACCUCCG